rnacentral:rRNA from 1 species
CCAAUAGCGUAUAUUAAAGUUGUUGUGGUUAAAAAGCUCGUAGUUGAACCUUGGGCCUGGCUGGCCGGUCCGCCUCACCGCAUGUACUGGUCCGGCCGGGUCUUUCCCUCUGUAGAACCCCAUGCCCUUCACUGGGUGUGGCGGGGAAACAGGACUUUUACUUUGAAAAAAUUAGAGUGCUCCAGGCAGGCCUAUUCUCGAAUACGUUAGCAUGGAAUAAUAGAAUAGGACGUGCGGUCCUAUUUUGUUGGUUUCUGGGACCGCCGUAAUGAUUAAUAGGGACAGUCGGGGGCAUCAGUAUUCAAUUGUCAGAGGUGAAAUUCUUGGAUUUAUUGAAGACUAACUACUGCGAAAGCAUUUGCCAAGGAUGUUUUCAUUAAUCAGUGAACGAAAGUUAGGGGAUCGAAGACGAUCAGAUACCGUCGUAGUCUUAACCAUAAACUAGGCCGACUAGGGAUCGGGCGGUGUUUUAAUAAUGACUCGCUCGGCACCUUACG